rnacentral:rRNA from 1 species
AUUGAACGCUGGCGGCAUGCCUUACACAUGCAAGUCGAACGGCAGCACGGGUGCUUGCACCUGGUGGCGAGUGGCGAACGGGUGAGUAAUACAUCGGAACAUGUCCUGUAGUGGGGGAUAGCCCGGCGAAAGCCGGAUUAAUACCGCAUACGAUCUACGGAUGAAAGCGGGGGACCUUCGGGCCUCGCGCUAUAGGGUUGGCCGAUGGCUGAUUAGCUAGUUGGUGGGGUAAAGGCCUACCAAGGCGACGAUCAGUAGCUGGUCUGAGAGGACGACCAGCCACACUGGGACUGAGACACGGCCCAGACUCCUACGGGAGGCAGCAGUGGGGAAUUUUGGACAAUGGGCGAAAGCCUGAUCCAGCAAUGCCGCGUGUGUGAAGAAGGCCUUCGGGUUGUAAAGCGCUUUUGUCCGGAAAGAAAUCCUUGGCCCUAAUACGGUCGGGGGAUGACGGUACCGGAAGAAUAAGCACCGGCUAACUACGUG